UUUCCGUAGGUGAACCUGCGGAAGGAUCAUUCAUAAUAAAGUGUCUUAUGGCACUUUUUAAAAAUCCAUAUCCACCUUGUGUGCAAUGUUAGAUCUCGUCAAUCUUGGCGAGAUUUUUAUACAUCAACUCAUUUUUUAACUAAUUUGUCUGAAAAAUAUUAUGAAUACUUAAUUCAAAAUACAACUUUCAACAACGGAUCUCUUGGCUCUC
rnacentral:misc_RNA from 1 species